ensembl:lncRNA ASMTL-AS1 ASMTL antisense RNA 1
CUGGAGUCCUGGCCAGCCAGGCGGGGAUCCUUCAGCAGGACACAGGGGACACAGCAGGCAACAGGAGCUCAGAACGUCAUGCAGGAUCCGGCACAGGACGUACAGCUCAGCGCUGGGGAGGGGGUCCCUGAAAAAGUCACCUGGUUUAAAGACAAAACGAGAUACGUCCGUCAGACAGAAGAGGAGACAGACACAGAGGAGAAGGCCACGUGGAGACGGAGGCAGAGACUGGAGUGAUGCGGCCACAAGCCCAGGGACGCCUGGAGCCCCCAGGAGCUGGAAGAGGCGGGAAGGAUCCUCCCCUAGAGCCUCUCAGAAAGAAUCAAACACAACUGCAAUGGGUUGGGUGGUGACGUCCAAAAGAUCUGUCCAAGUCCUAAGCCCCAGAACCUGGGAAUGGGACCUCAUUUGGAUAAAGUUUCUUUGCAGAUGUAA